rnacentral:lncRNA from 8 species
AAUGGAGGGAGAGGAUGGAGGAAGGGAGAAGAGAAGCGAGGAAAAGUGAGAAAGUUUAUCCCUCUUCGUCAGCUUUUCUCUCUCUUGCCCUCUGUCUCUUUCUUUCUCUCUCUCUCUCUCUCUCUCUGUCUCUCUCUCUCGCUCUCUCUCUUUGCAACUCAGUCUAAGUGACUCUAUUUGGCCUUCCGGGCCCUGCUUGAUGUUGAUGGUGCAGUUACAUAAGCUAAGCACCGUGUCAGGAAACAGGUCUGACCUGUAGAGGCGAGGCGGCCGGAGUAUGUUGGGGUGUGUUCCUCUUUUUGGUUACGUGUGUGUAGUGUUUUUACGAGGGUGUUGUUAUUUACUGUAUGUGUGACAUAAUGUGUGGUAUGUUUGUCUCCUCACAGGCGAGGUGUGUGUCUGUGGUGUUCAUGUGUGUGGUUAAAGAGAAAGGUGUUGUUUUACAGGGUCAGCCAUACUAGUACGGCGCCCCUGGAGCUAAUUAGGGUUAAGUGCCUUGCUCACAUCGACAGAUUUUUCACUUUGUCGGCUCGGGUAUUCGAACCAGCAACCUUUCGGUUACAGGUCCAACGUUCAAAAUGUCAGGCUACCUGCCGCCGGGCAUUUGUGUGUGUGUGUGUGUGUGUGUGUGUGUGUGUGUGUGUGUGUGUGUGUGUGUGUGUGUGUGUGUGUGUGUGGUUUUGUUCUGUGUUUUUCUCCAAAUCAGAGUCCUUGCAGCAGAAAUCUAACAUAUCCAAACAGCUAGAUUUGCGGUGCUGUACUCCUGAAAUAAUCCCUCAAAAUAUAUAUGUAUAACAUGUAUUUGUAUAUUUGUCUCCUCAAUGUCUACCCCCGCCCCCCUCUGCAGGUGUAGGACAAGGCCUGUUAACUCUGCUCCACACUGAGCCAAUGACAAAGGCUUCAUGGCCCAUACAUUGAAUGGAUGAGAGCAUGAGAGAGAGGGAAAAUGGCCGACCGGCACAAUUUCCUGCCAGGCUGCCCCUCACCGCAGCCUCUCACACACACACUUAUGGCUUACAAUGUGACAUAUUGAGCAUAUUGAAACCACGCACACGCAUGUAUGCAGGUAAUGUUGUGCAUCUUUAUUCAUUCCUCUUGGUUCUCCUUUGGACGUCUCAGACACACGGCCACUGCAGACUGCAACACGAUGAGUAACAAAGUUUGAUGUUGUGGGCCACGAACAUUGAAAUAUGCACACAUGCACGCAGACACUUGUGCACAACAUAGAGUAUACAUGCACACACAGCCAUACAUUAGGAUCCCUACAUGUAAAGAUGUAUUAUACUGUAUAACAGUGAGCCUGUCUCUCUUGGUAUCAGUGUGUGUGUGAAAUCCCUGUGAUGACAGCAUGCUAGUGUGUCAGCCCUUUUUACUGUGU